UGGGGAAUUUUGGACAAUGGGCGAAAGCCUGAUCCAGCAAUGCCGCGUGUGUGAAGAAGGCCUUCGGGUUGUAAAGCACUUUUGUCCGGAAAGAAAUGGCUCUGGUUAAUACCUGGGGUCGAUGACGGUACCGGAAGAAUAAGGACCGGCUAACUACGUGCCAGCAGCCGCGGUAAUACGUAGGGUCCAAGAGUUAAUCGGAAUUACUGGGCGUAAAGCGUGCGCAGGCGGUUGUGCAAGACCGAUGUGAAAUCCCCGAGCUUAACUUGGGAAUUGCAUUGGUGACUGCACGGCUAGAGUGUGUCAGAGGGGGGUAGAAUUCCACGUGUAGCAGUGAAAUGCGUAGAGAUGUGGAGGAAUACCGAUGGCGAAGGCAGCCCCCUGGGAUAACACUGACGCUCCAUGCACGAAAGCGUGGGGAGCAAACAGGAUUAGAUA
rnacentral:rRNA from 1 species